CCUACGGGUGGCAGCAGUGGGGAAUAUUGGGCAAUGGGCGCAAGCCUGACCCAGCAACGCCGCGUGAAGGAAGAAGGCUUUCGGGUUGUAAACUUCUUUUGUCAGGGACGAAGCAAGUGACGGUACCUGACGAAUAAGCCACGGCUAACUACGUGCCAGCAGCCGCGGUAAUACGUAGGUGGCAAGCGUUAUCCGGAUUUACUGGGUGUAAAGGGCGUGUAGGCGGGACUGCAAGUCAGAUGUGAAAACCACGGGCUCAACCUGUGGCCUGCAUUUGAAACUGUAGUUCUUGAGUACUGGAGAGGCAGACGGAAUUCCUGGUGUAGGGGUAAAAUCCGUAGAGAUCAAGAGGAAUACUCAUUGCGAAGGCGACCUGCUAGAACAUAACUGACGCUGAUGCGCGAAAGCGUGGGGAGCAAACAGGAUUAGAUACCCGUGUAGGC
rnacentral:rRNA from 1 species